GAUGAACGCUAGCUACAGGCUUAACACAUGCAAGUCGAGGGGUAGCAGGGUAGCAAUACCGCUGACGACCGGCGCACGGGUGAGUAACACGUAUCCAACCUUCCCAUAACUCGGGGAUAGCCUUUCGAAAGAAAGAUUAAUACCCGAUAGUACUUUUUCAUGGCAUCUUGAAAAAGUUAAAGAUUUAUUGGUUAUGGAUGGGGAUGCGUUCCAUUAGAUAGUUGGUGAGGUAACGGCUCACCAAGUCUUUGAUGGAUAGGGGUUCUGAGAGGAAGGUCCCCCACAUUGGUACUGGGACACGGACCAAACUCCUACGGGAGGCAGCAGUGAGGAAUAUUGGUCAAUGGGCGAGAGCCUGAACCAGCCAAGUAGCGUGAAGGAUGAAGGUCCUAUGGAUUGUAAACUUCUUUUAUAGUAGAAUAAAGUGAUCCACGUGUGGAUUUUUGUAUGUAUACUAUGAAUAAGGAUCGGCUAACUCCGUGCCAGCCGCCGCAGUAAGAC
rnacentral:rRNA from 1 species